UUGUCGCAUUGGUUGAAAUGUGUGGUCACAUGACUAGUAAUUCUGUGCAGAACAUAUUGAUGACAACUAGUGACAUGUACUUUUUGGGAGUUGUCAUGAGUUUUACAUGGGUUGUAAGAUUUGUUUGGAUUCAGCACAGUUAUACAGUUAUUACCAGUACACAGAGAACAGGGUAUGUUUGUGUGAGGAUAGUUGUCAGAAUGUAAGAAUCAGAGGGGAUUUUGUGUUAUGUUUUGUGUUACUUAUAUACAUGUUAUACAUGUACGUAAAUACGAAAUAUAUUUAAGAUGUGAUAAAGUAUGUUUCUCUUAAUAUGUGAUAUGUUUAGGUUCUGUCAGAUAUAUUGACCACUAGGCUGUGUAAUGUUUUACCAUUGAGAUCUGUGUAUCUUAUAUGUUUUAAAGGAUAUCUUGUAAUGUACUUAUUUGUAAUAUACAUGAUGUUAUAUGUGAUUAAGUAAUUAAUUAAUGGGUCUAUUACAAGUAUGUUUAAAUAGUAUAUUAGAUGUCAUAAUUAUUGAUAUCUUUUGUCUGUAUGAUAUCAGCAUGAUAUCCUUUGAUAUCAUUCAUUUAUUUAUGAUGCUUACAUGUAUUUUUCAGACCCAACACUCUAUUACAGUGUUUUCAAGUGUAUUCCAUAUCCAAGAGAAUGAUGUAUUGUUUGUAUUAUUGUAUGAUGGACAGAAAAGUAAUAAACAUCUAGUAAACUA
rnacentral:lncRNA from 1 species